AGGCCCCCCAGACCGUGGAGCUGCCAGCCGUUGCUGGUCACACCCUUACUGCCCGCCGAGGCCUGUCUCUGCUCCUGGUGGGCGGUUACUCCCCGGAAAAUGGCUUCAACCAGCAGCUGCUGGAGUACCAGCUGGCAACCGGCACCUGGGUGUCAGGAGCCCAGAGUGGGACACCCCCCACAGGUCUCUAUGGUCACUCUGCUGUCUACCACGAGGCCACCGACUCCCUCUACGUGUUUGGGGGGUUCCGAUUCCAUGUGGAGCUGGCGGCCCCAUCCCCCGAGCUCUACUCCCUGCACUGUCCUGACCGCACCUGGAGUCUGCUGGCCCCUUCUCAGGGGGCAAAGCCCCGCCCCCGGCUUUUCCACGCCUCAGCCCUGUUAGGGGACACCAUGGUGGUUCUUGGGGGGCGCUCGGACCCUGACGAGUUCAGCAGCGACGUUCUGCUCUACCAGGUCAACUGCAAUGCCUGGCUUCUGC
rnacentral:lncRNA from 1 species